rnacentral:lncRNA from 1 species
AGGGGUUUAGAAGAGUAUUUUUGAGAUUUGGGGUUUAGAAGAGUAUUUUUGAUAAUUUGAGGAGAAAUUUAGAAAUUUUAAUUGGUAGCGAGAGGUAAAUAAGUAAAAAAAUCUCUUUUAUUAUUAUUAUUAGGGUAAAUUUUAAAUAUUGCUCUUAUAAUUUCAUACUUUUUUCACUUUAGUAUCCAAUGGUUCAAAAUCCAUCAAUUUAGUACCAUGUGAUUUCAUUUUUCUCUUUUUCUCGGUCCCUAUGUUAACUCUUCGUUAAAUCAUAUACACAAAAUGUCAGAUACUCUAUCGAAUAUUUAUUUUAAUACCCUUUAAUUUUAACAUUGUAAGAAACAGUGGAGAGGAUAACAAAAAGAGAAAAAUAAAACUACAGAGUACGAAAGUGUACACUUUAAACUACAAAAUACUAAAGUGAGAAAGUACGAAAUCAUAUAUAGGGGUGGUAUUUGAAGUUUUUUCUUAUUAUUAUUUGAGUAAACUUCAAAUAUCAUCUCUGUGUUUUCGCACUUUCUCACUUUAGUACCCUAUGUUUUAAAGUAUAUCAAGUUAGUGUCAUGUGGUUUUAUUUUUAUCUUUUCGUCAGUUUCUCUGUUAAUAUUUCGUUAAAUUAUAUACAAAAAACUUCAGAUACCCCACCUAGGUUUAUCGAAUAUUCAUUUUAGUAUCUUUUAAUUUUAACUUUGUCACUGAUUUAACAAAAAAAAUUAGUGAAAUGGAUAAUAAAAAGAUAAAAAUGAAACCAUAAGGUACUAAAUUGAUACACUUUAAACUAUAUGGAACUAAAGUGAGAAAGUGGAAACCGACGCAGUGGUAUUUGAAGUUGUUUU